GACGAACGCUGGCGGCGUGCUUAACACACGCAAGUCGAACGGAAAGGCCCUGCUUUUGUGGGGUGCUCGAGUGGCGAACGGGUGAGUAACACGUGAGUAACCUGCCCUUGACUUUGGGAUAACUUCAGGAAACUGGGGCUAAUACCGGAUAGGAGCUCCUGCUGCAUGGUGGGGGUUGGAAAGUUUCGGCGGUUGGGGAUGGACUCGCGGCUUAUCAGCUUGUUGGUGGGGUAGUGGCUUACCAAGGCUUUGACGGGUAGCCGGCCUGAGAGGGUGACCGGCCACAUUGGGCCUGAGGUACGGCCCAGACUCCUACGGGAGGCAGCAGUGGGGAAUAUUGCACAAUGGGCGGAAGCCUGAUGCAGCAACGCCGCGUGCGGGAUGACGGCCUUCGGGUUGUAAACCGCUUUCGCCUGUGACGAAGCGUGAGUGACGGUAAUGGGUAAAGAAGCACCGGCUAACUACGUG
rnacentral:rRNA from 1 species